AUCUAGGUAGCUCAGUGGAUAGAGUGCUAGGCCUGGAAUCAAGGAGAACUGAGUUCAAAUCCAGUCUCAGAUA
rnacentral:tRNA from 1 species